rfam:Triticum aestivum genome assembly, contig: Triticum_aestivum_CS42_TGACv1_scaffold_019688_1AS
AGCCUACUCCCUCCGUUCGAAAUUACUUGUCUCGGAAAUGGACGUAUCUAGAACUAAAAUACAUCUAAAUACAUCUAUUUUCACGACAAAUAAUUCCGAACGGAGGGAGUAGAUG